CAGUGUUGCCGUCAACCGUGUGGCGACCUACAAGGAGUUGGACAGUGACCUUUUGAGACACGCAGCCUUCUCGACCCUAGACGACAUUGACCUUCGGCUCCUGACCUCCUGCCUGGCCCCAGAGAGCGAGCCUGACGUACAUUGGAGGUGGGACGCCCUAUUUACAGAGGUGUCGUCGGAGCUGCGGACAGAAUGGGAGCCAGAGGGUGACGGCCAGACUGAAGACACUCCCAUCCAAGCAUAGCCUCCUGUUGUGGCUGUAGUUCCCA